rnacentral:rRNA from 1 species
AGCGAACGCUGGCGGCAGGCCUAACACAUGCAAGUCGAACGAACUCUUCGGAGUUAGUGGCAGACGGGUGAGUAACACGUGGGAACGUGCCUUUAGGUUCGGAAUAACUCAGGGAAACUUGUGCUAAUACCGAAUGUGCCCUUCGGGGGAAAGAUUUAUCGCCUUUAGAGCGGCCCGCGUCUGAUUAGCUAGUUGGUGAGGUAAAGGCUCACCAAGGCGACGAUCAGUAGCUGGUCUGAGAGGAUGAUCAGCCACAUUGGGACUGAGACACGGCCCAAACUCCUACGGGAGGCAGCAGUGGGGAAUCUUGCGCAAUGGGCGAAAGCCUGACGCAGCCAUGCCGCGUGAAUGAUGAAGGUCUUAGGAUUGUAAAAUUCUUUCACCGGGGACGAUAAUGACGGUACCCGGAGAAGAAGCCCCGGCUAACUUCGUGCCAGCAGCCGCAGUAACAC